rnacentral:rRNA from 1 species
UACGUAGGGCGCAAGCGUUGUCCGGAAUUAUUGGGCGUAAAGAGCUCGUAGGCGGCCUGUCGCGUCUGCUGUGAAAUCCCGGGGCUUAACCCCGGGCGUGCAGUGGAUACGGGCUGGCUGGAGGCAGGCAGGGGAGAACGGAAUUCCCGGUGUAGCGGUGAAAUGCGCAGAUAUCGGGAGGAACACCGGUGGCGAAGGCGACUUCCUGGCCUGUUCUUGACGCUGAGGCGCGAAAGCUAGGGGAGCAAACGGG